CACAGGUGUCAGAUCAGCCAUGAAAGACGGAACGCACAGCAUGUUGGACUGUGGGACUCUAUCAGAGCUAUAUCGCUAAGCAGCUGAGUGUGGUGUGUGAUAAGGUUGCCAAGGGAAACGCCUUUUCCCUGCUGGAGCUGGGAGAUCUGGGCUACCCAGAAUCCAGUUGUGAUAGCUGUCCCAGGUAGCCAUUUAUAAUAAAGGGUAUCUGUAAGUAGGCCAUCUAUAAAUAGCAUUUAUAGACCUAUUUAUAGACCUAAAGGCCAAGCAUACCUGGAAUUCCUUCUGCCCUUGCCUCAUUUCUCAGUGCCAGGCUCUAGAGGAAGAGAGGUGGUUCUGAACAUGUUUUAACAGCAAGUUGAAACUCCCUCCCCUUCUGCUUUUACACGCCCAUAUUGCCUUUUGAUUUACUUCCCAAACUCUCCACCAACUAUUUUAGGGUGAUGACCACAACUUACAUUUAAAAGUAACAAUAGCAUGAAAUACAUUCCUCCCCAGUAAUCAGGGAACCUUGAAACCAGAUCCCCCCUGCCCGCCCCCUUCAUUUCUCCCUCAUGCUGUUCCCUGUUCACAUGCUGAGGUUCCCUGCUGGUGCUGCUGUUAUGGUUGACAUCCCUCCUCCCAGCUUGCCUUCCCUCUGCUUCUCUACAGAACUCAGACCUUCUCUAUUUAAGUUCUGACUCAAAUGUUGUGUCCUUUUUGAAGUUCUUUCCUGGUAGUGAUUUUUCUUUUCCCAUUGUAUUUAAUCUCCUUUACAGAUGGUUUUUCUGUCUUGUGUUACUCUUGCACGUGACUUAUUGCCCUUAGUUCUAAGUUCCUUGAUAGUGUUAAUUUAUUCUUGCAUGUCUAGAGCAAUUAACACAGUGCCUUGUUUCUAUAUAUAGUAUUUGUAUUUAACGAACUAAUAAAUGAAGAAUAGAACCUCUUAUAAAACUUGCUUGUAUAAAGCACAAAAGUUGGAAAAUAUCCUGAGCGAAAACUUGAAAGAAAACCAUGGUGCCUGUCAGUUUUCCGUGUUCUUUGUAUGGAAUUGUGCUUCAAACCCAGGAGAACUUCCUAGAGCAUGUGGGCCUUCUCAAAGAAGCCCUACUGCACUCAGUUGGCCUUGCAUUUCACAGUUAUGGUGGACUGAACCUGAGGCCUAGGUGGUAAGAUUAAAGUCAACAGGAUUAAGCGUUCUUCUCCCUGUGCCAAUUUAUGACAUGUAGAACUUCCCUGUGGGCUUCCUUUUUGUGUUGGCACUGGAUGAGAAUGUUCUCUGAAGACUGUUCAGUGCCCAUAAGAGGCAAGGGACCCCUGCUGCAGCCCCAGCUGAGACUGUUCAGGACACCAGGAGUUUGGAAGCUUUGCUUCUUUUAAAUGAUUAUUCUCAGUAGCUUCAGCCUUUCAAGGGAGCUGUGAUCCAUCCCAGCUAAAAAUAGACUCCACAUUCACUCCUUCAGUUCCUGGCUCAAUGAAAUGUCUUUUGCUCUGUCCCCCCAUCUGCAUAGCCUGGCAUCCUGGGGCAGUGCUGCUAGCCAUAAACAGACAACCAAAACACACAGAGGUGCUGGACUCUCUUCCCAGGACCCCCAAGAAGGGACACCAUAUCACCUCCCACACAUUAGAAGGGUUCCUAUCAAAAUGCCAGGAAAUAACAGGGAUAAAGAGGGUGUGGGGAAACUCACAGGGACUGCAAAAGGGUGCAGCAGACAAGGACAGCAGAUGGUGAUGUGGUGCUGUCAGGCCAUGGACUGUACCCCAAAUUCACAAGAGAAGCAUGAACCUCACUGUGACUGUGCCUGGACAGGGGGCCAUAGGAGAUCCUCACCCUACAACAGAAGCGUGAGCCCUCUACCCACUGGGCACCUCUGGUUUGCCUCUCUGUUCUUUCUGUAUCUUUUUAACUGCUUUCAUAACUUAUUUGUUCUACCAGCUGCUUAAGAUUUUUUUAGCUAACUCAUAACUAAUUUUGAGGUGUUUAUGUGAAUGACUAUUAUUCCUCUCAAAUAGCAAUUAAAAUAUACUUUAAUAAAAUAUUUUAAAAUGCCUCCUUCUUCCACAAGGAGAAACUAGUAUUUCUUUUUCUAGAAGCAUUGGAAGAAAUGUCCCCAGCCUCACUCUGAAAUUACACUGGUCUUGAAUGUUUUUGCUUUGUUCUUUUGAUUUCUGAUUUUCCCUGAAGAAAACCGG
rnacentral:lncRNA from 1 species